CGUCACAAUAUGUCUGACAUCCGUUUGAAACGCCAUUUCGUUCCAGAUUGAUAGCAUUAUGUCGUGGUACAAAAUAGCUAUACACCGUUCAAUUGAACUCUUCUAACGAAGGAGAUGAGAUAAGAAUGAAAUCACCAAAACGCUUAGAAAAUAUGUCAAUUCCCUUCGUGAUUAAAGCUUUCAACUAACAUAGAUUAUCAGCUGUUGUGUAGAGAAACGUGAAAUCGAAAUAAUAUACUGUUUCCCUGCUAAUGGCAAUACAUAUUUGUCAUGUCAUCUGCAACAGACGAUCAUAAAUAUGUGACGGAUUAUCGAUAAAGAUAUAGCUAUAAGCCGGAUUUGCAAGCCAAAUGAGGGAACGACAGAAUCUUGAAAAAGAGCAUGUUUUUAAUUACCACACAUACAUGUGUAUCACUAUGGACAUCUAAUAUUUUUGUGGGAUUUCAUCCAGCAGUUUGCCUUAAAAGAAUUUUUAAAUAUUUUAGUUUCAUAUUUAUGUGGAUUCCAAUAAAAAUCAUACAAACUUCA